AUGAUGAAAUUACUGGAAUUUAAUUUCAAAAUCCAGUAUAAGAAAGGAACAACCAACAAGGUAGCUGAUGCAUUAUCCAGAAUCCUUCCAAGUUGUUUUGCUAUGUCACCUAUCACACCUAUAUGGGCUGAGGAUCUGUUGCUAAUUUAUCAACAGGAUCCAGUCGGUAAGAAAUUACUAGAGCAACUGCUAUUGCAACAAAACACUGACAAUUCUGAUUAUACCAUACAUGCUGGUAUAAUCAGAUACAAAGGAAAAAUUCUGGUAGGAAAUACUCCUACACUCAGAACUCAGUUAAUACAGGCUCUCCACAGCUCACCUAUAGGAGGACACUCAGGGAUGAGAGCUACAUACCAGAGGAUCAAGAAUAUUUUCUAUUGGCCUGGUCUGAAACAUGAAGUGGAAACAUUUAUAGCUGCAUGCCCUGUUUGCCAGAGAGCAAAACAUGAGAACUGCUUGCAGCCAGGUCUACUGGAUCCCCUUCCUGUAGCAGACAUGGCAUGGCAACAUGUGAGCAUGGACUUCAUUGAAGGCCUGCCAAACUCUCAGGGCAAGGAAGUUAUUAUGGUGGUGGUAGAUAGAUUUACCAAAUAUGCCCAUUUUAUCCCACUGUCCCAUCCCUAUAUUGUCUUGAGUGUAGCACAAGCAUUUGUUGAUCACAUCGUUAAGUUGCAUGGACCCCCUAAAUUGAUCAUAUCUGACAGAGACAGGAUUUUUACAAGCCAACUUUGGAAAGAUAUAUUUGCUGCUUUGCAUGUGGAAUUAAGAUAUAGUACAGCUUACCACCCUCAGACAGAUGGUCAAAUGGAACGAGUAAACCAAUGCGUGGAAACUUAUUUGAGGUGUAUGACUACUAAUGAACCAAAAAAAUGGGUCUCGUGGAUGUCUUUGGCUGAAUUUUGGUACAAUUCCACAUACCACACUGCCUUGAAGAUGUCUCCAUUUCAGGCACUAUAUGGAUUUCCCCCUCCCCUCAUCUCUGAAUUAGCAAUUCCUGGUCCUGAAGAAAAGGAGGCACAAGAUUUCCUCAGUGCUAAACAUCACAUGUUGGAUUUGCUCAAGAGCAACUUGCAACAAGCACAAAACAAGAUGAAACACUGUGCUGAUAUGAAAAGAGUGGAAAGAGUUUUUCAAGUUGGGGAGCUAGUUUAUCUGAAAAUGGCCCCAUACAGAUUGGCAGCUUUUGGUUUUCGAGGAGCUUUGAAACUCCAGAACAGAUACUAUGGCCCUUUCUUAAUCACACAAAAAGUGGGACAGUCAGCUUACAAGCUCCAAUUCCCUACAGACGUCAAGAUCCAUCCAGUGUUUCACUUGAGCCAGCUCAAGAAGCACAUUGGAAACAAAUCCAUUCCCAGCCCUCAUUUACCAAUGGUGAACGCAGAUGGAACGAUCAAAACGGGUCCAGAAGGAGUUCUGCAAGUCAGGCAAAUUCCAAAGCACAACAAACCGGUGGUCCAAUGGCUUAUUCAUUGGAAGAAUUUACCUGCAGACGAAGCCACCUGGGAGGACGCAGAUUUCAUCAAAUAUACAUUUCCGGAAUUCUUCAAAGCAACAACUCAAGGUUGGCGCGAAGCGGGGCACACGCCGUGA
rnacentral:rRNA from 1 species